UACAGAGGUCUCAAGCGUUGUUCGGAUUCAUUGGGCGUAAAGGGUGCGUAGGCUGCGGGGCAAGUCGGGUGUGAAAUCUCAGAGCUCAACUCUGAAACUGCACUCGAUACUGCUUUGCUUGAGGACUGGAGAGGAGAUUGGAAUUCACGGUGUAGCAGUGAAAUGCGUAGAUAUCGUGAGGAAGACCAGUGGCGAAGGCGGAUCUCUGGACAGUUCCUGACGCUGAGGCGCGAAGGCCAGGGGAGCAAACGGG
rnacentral:rRNA from 1 species